rnacentral:rRNA from 1 species
AUUGAACGCUGGCGGCAGGCUUAACACAUGCAAGUCGAGCGCCCCGCAAGGGGAGCGGCAGACGGGUGAGUAACGCGUGGGAAUCUACCCAUCUCUACGGAAUAACGCAUGGAAACGUGUGCUAAUACCGUAUACGCCCUUAGGGGGAAAGAUUUAUCGGAGAUGGAUGAGCCCGCGUUGGAUUAGCUAGUUGGUGGGGU